rnacentral:lncRNA from 1 species
CCCGCAAGCACCGCGCGCAGUCCCGGUUCCUGCCCGCGCCUCUCCCUCCACACCUCCUUGCAAGCUGAGGGAGCCGGCUCUGGCCUUGGCCAGCCCAGAAAGGGGCUGCCAUAGUGCAGCGGAGGGCUGAAGGGCUCCUCAAGUGCCGUCAAAGUGGGAGCCCAGUCAGAGGAGGUGCCGAAAGCGAGCGAGGGCUGUGAGGACUGCCAGCACAGUGUCACCUCUCACUCUCUCUCAGUGCUGUGAGAGUAUGGGUUCCUCUCCCACUUGAGUGCUGGCUACAGAACUUGGCUUCGCACUGCUGGGCUGUGCACCACGGCCCUAAGCUGGAGGGCAGUAAGGGCAGUACCGCUGCAGCCGCAAUGAGAGAGGGGCUGUGCGUUGUCUACAGAAUUCCCUCCCCAGAGAAACUCAGAGCUGCCACCUACUGAAAUGUUCAGAUCUACUCCAGGAAAAGUGUUGAUCUAUGGAGAAACUCCCAAUGCACCUACACAAAAAAAGCAUCUGUCUGCGUUCCAUUGACAAAGACCACCCUUAGUGUGGACAGCACGUUUUCUUAUCUAUUUGAUUCAUGGGAUGUUUAUGUGGAUAAUUCCUUUGAAAUCCAGCUUGAUUUAUGAACAAUCUUCUCUGCUCUAUUGAGCCAUUAAAUCCAGAGUAUUAGUGCAUUUGGAAUACACAGAGAUGAUAAUGACAUCCAAAGAAGAGUCCAGCAAAACUUAUUUCCAUGAGGACUUUUUCAGAGGGAUGAAGUAACAUUAGCUAUACAGGUUAGCAUUAUAAGACUUCCCAAGUGUAGAUGAGAAUAAUGGCAACUCUGUGGUCCUAAGGAUGAAUAUUGCUCUGGAAUAUGCAUUUUACACUAUAUGAAAGAAAUUAGGAUCGAUAUAAGCUCACUUAUCUUUGCCUUAUUCCUCCUCAUGUUGUUUUUGUCUAGAUUGUCUCAGCCACUUGUUUUAUUUUACUUAAAUUUUAAUUUCAUCUUAUUGUAAACCUCCAUUCCUUCAGAAACAGGUCAAGAAACAUGUCAAUCUACCUAAGUGAAUAACUAAUAUUAACAAUUAAAUAAUAAAUAGUACUGAAUGAAUAUACGAAUACAAGAAUAAAUAAAAAUAAAAUGUAUUACUUCAUCGAUGGAUUUCCUAGUAGAUGGGGAAACGGUGAGAGGAUAUGAGCUUCAAUAAGAAAAAUGGUGCAAAAUAAGGCAGAAGCAAAUGCCCAAAACAAAUCAACACAUUCACAAUUUUUCCAAGGACCUGUCAUGUAUAUAUUUUUUUCUUUUUUUAACCAUUUGUGGCCCCUUUUUUUAACCAUUUGUGGCCCCUUUCUUAUAUCUCAUUUCUCUCUUUUGUAAGGCUUCUGUGUUAAUUGACAGCAUGUUCAGAUAUAAAUCCAUCACAGGAAUGUGAUGAAAUUAGCCAUUCAGACCCCUGAUAUUAAGAAAUUCAAAGAAAUGGAUAGAGUAUCCAACCAGUGAGGAAUUAAAGAAGAAAGAAGAGAAAGAGAAGGAGAGAGAAACUAGCUGUAAAGUUGGGAUGGGUCGGGGGUGGUGAAGAAAACCAAUUAUUCAUUGAAGGUGCCAGAAGGAAAAUUGAUGGCAUGAAUCCAUAGCUUCUCACCAUAAAGGUGAAUAAUGACACAGACACUUAGAUUGGGGAAUGAGAAAAAAAAGGUGCAUGCAAGGUUCUUCUAUUUAUAUCUGAUUAAGAUAUGAAAAGAAAAUGAGAGACUGGAUUACUAAAGAAAAAUUCCAGACAGUUAAGCAAUUUUAGGAAUGAUUCAUUUUAAGAUAUGGCCAUCAAUUAUUUAUAAGGGUUAAUAAAUAGAUUUAUAAGCAAGAGGUACAUGGAAUCUAGAAAUACAUAAAUGCUCUUCAAAUUAUUUACAGCUCUGACAAGUCAUAACACAUGAACUACUACCAAAAACACCAUUUACUUGACUUUAAAAUUUGCACCAUAAACUAUAAAUGGACCAGUUAUGGAGCAUCAGCCAUUUGUAAUGUGCCAUGCAAUAUUUAACAUCAACUAAAUGUGUUUUCACUAGCUGCUGACCACUUGGAUUAAUUUAAUAAGCAUGCCUAGUGCCUAAUGAUUUAUUUGUGGGUAAAUGAUCAUAACUAUUUAAUGGCCUUAAUAUUACAGAUGUAAUUCUGAAAUAAAAUAUCAUAACUUGGAUUUAGUACAUCCAGUUAAAUAACAAGCAUCGACAUUUUUAAAAAAUAAUAAAAACAGUGGCCAGAAAAAGAAAUUAAAGCACUUGCUAGUCAUAUGUCCCCAUAGGUUUCCAGCUUCAUAUUGGCUUUAUUUCUUUUUUUCCUUUCAUUUAGGUCACCCAUUAAUUUUCUUUCUUCAUUUGCACACCCUCUUCCAUUUCCUGUACUAUCUUUUGUUCUAAUCCUCUAGUAAUUCCCCAGUGAGCUCUCAGCUUCCAAAGGGCACUCUAUUUCUAUUAAGCAUGGCAGUCAACAAGUGGAAAUAGUCCUUGGUUGUCCUGCUUUCUGGGUGAAUAGCAGAGUCCCUUUGCAUCACCUCAAAGACUCUGAUUCUCAUGAUCCUCAGUCUGGUGCUGAAUUGUGCUUUUGCUCAUCCACACACAUCCCCUACCCCAACUGUAAUGUCUAACACUGCACAUACAUUUAUGGUAAUUUGAAUAACGCCUACAUUUCAGUGUUUUCUAUAGUACUGGAAGAGGUAAUAAAGAAUUAAGAGUUGCUAAUAAUCUGUGUUUAGAAUAAUGAGACUAUAUUAAACUAAAGAACUUCUGCACAAUUAACAGAGUAAAGAGAUAACCUGUAGAAUGAGAGAAAAUAUUUGCAAACUAUUUAUAUGACAAUGGACUAAUAUCCAGAAUAUGCAAGGAACUCAGUUCAACACCACCACAAAUAAUCCAAUUAAAAAGUGGGAAACAUACCUGAAUAUACAUUUCUCAAAAGGAAACAUACUAAUAGUUAACAGGUAUAUGAAAAAAAUGCUCCACAUCACUAAUUAUUACAGAAAUACAAAUCAAGGGCCAGGUGUGGUGGCUUAUGCCUGUAAUCCCAGCACUUUGGGGGGCUGAGGCGAGCCGAUCACCUGAGGUCAGGAGUUCAAGAC